rnacentral:rRNA from 1 species
UGCAUGAGAAACGGCUACCACAUCUAAGGAAGGCAGCAGGCGCGUAAAUUACCCAAUCCUGACUCAGGGAGGUAGUGACAAGAAAUAGCAAACCGGGAACCUCAUGGUUUCACGGUAUUGCAAUGAGAACAAUUUAAAACCCUUAGCGAGAAUCAAGUGGAGGACAAGUCUGGUGCCAGCACCCGCGGUAAUUCCAGCUCCACUAGCGUAUAUUAAAGUUGUUGCAGUUAAAAAGCUCGUAGUUGAACCUCUGUCUGGGGCUAGUUUUGGCUUUGGUCAGGCUAGUUCUAGGCAUCCGCCUACAAGACUUAGAGGGCAUUCAGUUGUUCACUAGGAGGAGUAGGCAUUUUACUUUGAAAAAAUUAGAGUGUUUAAGGCAGGCAAUCGCCCGCAUAUAUUAGCAUGGAAUAAUAGAAUAGGACACUUUUCCAUUUCGUUGGUUAUUGGAAUCGUGUAAUGAUUAAUAGGGACAGUUGUGGGCAUUUGUAUUUAAUUGUCAGAGGUGAAAUUCUUGGAUUUAUUAAAGACAAACUAACGCGAAAGCAUUUGCCAAGGAUGUUUUCAUUAAUCAAGAACGAAAGUUAGGGGAUCAAAGACGAUCAGAUACCGUCCUAGUCUUAACUAUAAACUAUUCCGACUCAAUGUUUGACUAGCUUAUAUAACCAGUUGAGCGUUGUAUGAGAAAUCAAAGUCUUUAGGUUCUGGGGGGAGUAUGGUUGCAAGGCUGAAACUUAAAGGAAUUGACGGAAGAGCACAACCAGGAGUGGAUUCUGCGGCUUAAUUUGACUCAACACGGGGAAACUUACCAGGUUAAAACAAUAGUGGGAUUGACAGUUUGAGAGCGCUUUCUUGAUUGGUUGGGUGGUGGCGCAUGGCCGUUCUUAGUUGGUGGAGUGAUUUGUCUGCUUAAUUGCGUUAACGAACGAGACCUUAACCUGCUUACUAGACUGGCGAUCAUCAAUCGUUAGCUCUUCUUAGAGGGACUUUGGUUGUUUUAACUCCAAGGAAGUUUGAGGCAAUAACAGGUCUGUGAUGCCCUUAGAUAUCCUGGGCCGCACGCGUCAUACAAUGACUAGUUCAGAAAGUUUUCUCCUGACCCGAAAGGGGAUGGGUAAUCUUGAUAAUACUAGUCGUGUUAGGGAUCGAUCUUUGCAAUUAUAGAUCUUGAACGAGGAAUUCCUAGUAAGUGCGGUUCAUCAGACCGUACUGAUUACGUCCCUGCUCUUUGUACACACCGCCCGUCGCUUCUACCGAGUGGGUGGUCCGGUGAGAUAAUUGAACUUCGCAGGUAACUGAGAGGAAAGAUUAUCAAACCUAUCCACCUCGAGGAAGAAGAAGUCGUAACAAGGUU